UUGAUCCUGGCUCAGAGUGAACGCUGGCGGUAGGCCUAACACAUGCAAGUCGAACGGCAGCACAGAGGAGCUUGCUCCUUGGGUGGCGAGUGGCGGACGGGUGAGGAAUACAUCGGAAUCUACCUUUUCGUGGGGGAUAACGUAGGGAAACUUACGCUAAUACCGCAUACGACCUACGGGUGAAAGCCGGGGACCUUCGGGCCUGGCGCGGAUAGAUGAGCCGAUGUCGGAUUAGCUUGUUGGCGGGGUAAAAGCCCACCAAGGCGACGAUCCGUAGCUGGUCUGAGAGGAUGAUCAGCCACACUGGAACUGAGACACGGUCCAGACUCCUACGGGAGGCAGCAGUGGGGAAUAUUGGACAAUGGGCGCAAGCCUGAUCCAGCCAUACCGCGUGAGUGAAGAAGGCCCUCGGGUUGUAAAGCUCUUUUGUUGGGAAAGAAAUCCUGUCGGUUAAUACCCGGUAGGG
rnacentral:rRNA from 1 species